UGAAAAGAGACAAGCUGGAGACGAGUGCUAGCAGAGAGAGCUUGGUCCUCAGCCUGGAACCGGAAACCCCCUACGCUGUCUUCGCCCCGGAUGCCGACCACUACACCAUGGUGGAGUUUGCCACGGUGCACUUCCGGGAGGCCCAGUCCACGCCAGGACUGAAGGGGGUGAGCGCGGAGAGGAGGAACCCAGCUGCCCUGGUCGAGCACACCAAGGU